rnacentral:rRNA from 1 species
CUACGGGUUGCUCCAGUGGGGAAUAUUGCGCAAUGGGGGAAACCCUGACGCAGCAACGCCGCGUGAAGGAUGAAGGCCUUCGGGUUGUAAACUUCUUUGAUCAGGGAAGAAAAAAAUGACGGUACCUGAAGAACAAGCCACGGCUAACUACGUGCCAGCAGCCGCGGUAAUACGUAGGUGGCAAGCGUUGUCCGGAUUUACUGGGUGUAAAGGGCGUGUAGGCGGGUCUGCAAGUCAGAUGUGAAAUCCCUGGGCUUAACCCAGGAACUGCAUCUGAAACUAUGGAUCUUGAGGGUCGGAGAGGAAAGUGGAAUUCCUAGUGUAGCGGCGAAAUGCGUAGAGAUUAGGAGGAACACCAGUGGCGAAGGCGACUUUCUGGACGAUAACUGACGCUGAGGCGCGAAAGCGUGGGUAGCAAACAGGAUUAGAUACCCGCGUAGUC